rnacentral:tRNA from 1 species
GGAGCUGUGGCUCAGUGGUAGAGCAUCUGCCUGGUAUGAAGAAGUUCAUAGAUUCAAUCCCUGUUAUCUCAG